GACAGGGGAUGCAAGCGUUACUCGGAAUUACUGGGCGUAAAGCGUCUGCAGGCGUCUUGUUAAGUCUGGUGUAAAAGCACGGAGCUCAACUCCGUGUACGUGCCGGAAACUGGCGAGAUCGAGUCACUCAGAGGCAUCUGGAAUGUCGUGUGUAGGGGUAAAAUCCGUUGAUCCACGAUGGAACGCCGAAAGCGAAGGCAGGAUGCUGGGGGUGUACUGACGCUCAGAGACGAAAGCGUGGGGAG
rnacentral:rRNA from 1 species